CUCCUAGAACAUAUCUUUAUGGUCUGACUAGUCCUCACAUUUCAGAUGUGAAGGCGUUUAUAUACCAGUGAUUCUUGAAAUGAGUGGUAUCUGAGUUUAGGCCCUCCCUUUUUGUAUACCUUUCACCAUGAUAAGGUGAGACACUAACAAAUGCUAAUUAACUCAUUAGGUCCUCCAUGUGUGCAUGAAGUUGCCGAUUCCUCUUUUUUUUUCAUACGAAUGCUUCCCUUUUGAGCUCUUCGUAAUCUGAGUUACCAGAUUCACGAGGCUGACUUUAUGCCCUUAUUUCACGCCUCAUUGAUGUUUGGAAGCCCACGUAUGAACCUAUUCGGCCAAUGAUCUAGGCCUAUCACUCUUUUGGAUAGACAUUAUUAUCUAAGACGCACCCCUGAUGAAGUCUAGUUCCUAGACGAAACGCGUUGGGUUACUGUAUUUCUUGUUGAUGUUAUCUCCGAAUAUUUAAUGAGGAAGAAUAAGGAUACAACAGAAAGGUUGCCUUCUUUCCUCCAUAUCCCAUUGAUGGAUUUCUGUAGGAGAAACUACAUCAUAAUGUACAUGUAAUAAUGAUGGAUAUACUUCAUGUUUCUGUAUAAUUGUUUUAAUAAAUUUUUAUGAAAAGUA